UACGUAGGGUGCAAGCGUUAAUCGGAAUUACUGGGCGUAAAGCGUGCGCAGGCGGUUCGCUAAGACCGAUGUGAAAUCCCCGGGCUUAACCUGGGAACUGCAUUGGUGACUGGCGGGCUAGAGUAUGGCAGAGGGGGGGUAGAAUUCCACGUGUAGCAGUGAAAUGCGUAGAGAUGUGGAGGAAUACCGAUGGCGAAGGCAGCCCCCUGGGCCAAUACUGACGCUCAUGCACGAAAGCGUGGGGAGCAAACAGG
rnacentral:rRNA from 1 species